UGGUCAAGUUAUUAAGGGUGCAGGGCGGAUGCCUUGGCACUAGGAGCCGAUGAAGGACGUGAUAAGCUGCGAUAAGCUUCGGGGAGUUGCACGUAAACUUUGAUCCGAAGAUUUCCGAAUGAGGAAACUCACUUAGAGUAAUGUCUAAGUAUCAUUAAGUGAAUACAUAGCUUAAUGAGGGGAACUCAGGGAACUGAAACAUCUAAGUACCUGAAGGAAGAGAAAGAAAUUCGAUUCCGUAAGUAGCGGCGAGCGAACGCGGAUUAGCCCAAACCAAUAAAGUUUUCUUUAUUGGGGUUGCGGACAUAUCAUAACGAAGAGGUAUCGUAAUUGAAGAGGUUUGGAAAGACCCACCACAGAAGGUAAUAGUCCUGUAUGUUAAACGAGAAGACUUUAGAUAUGAUCCAGAGUACCACGGGACACGUGAAACCCUGUGGGAAGCAGGAGGGACCACCCUCCAAGGCUAAAUACUACCUAGUGACCGAUAGCGUAUAGUACCGUGAGGGAAAGGUGAAAAGAACCCCGGGAGGGGAGUGAAAUAGAACCUGAAACCCUGCACUUACAAGCUGUGGAAGCACAUUUCUUGUGUGACCGCGUACUUUUUGUAGAACGGGCCAACGAGUUACGUUAAGUAGCAAGGUUAAGCACUUAAGGUGCGGAGCCGUAGCGAAAGCGAGUUUUAACUGAGCGUUCAGUUACUUGACGUAGACCCGAAACCGGGCGACCUACCCAUGAGCAGGAUGAAGCGAAAGUAAAAUUUCGUGGAGGUCCGAACCCACGAGCGUUGAAAAGCUCGGGGAUGACUUGUGGGUAGCGGUGAAAUUCCAAUCGAGCCCGGAGAUAGCUGGUUCUCCCCGAAAUAGCUUUAGGGCUAGCCUCAAGGUGAGAGAUACGGAGGUAGAGCACUGAAUGUCCUAGGGGGUAUUGCACCUACCGAAGACUAUCAAACUCCGAAUGCCGUCAUCUUAUACUUGGGAGUCAGACUGUGGGUGAUAAGAUUCAUAGUCGAAAGGGCAACAGCCCAGAUCGUCAGCUAAGGUCCCUAAAUGUAAGUUAAGUGGUAAAGGAUGUGGGAUUGCACAGACAACCAGGAUGUUGGCUUAGAAGCAGCCACUCAUUCAAAGAGUGCGUAAUAGCUCACUGGUCGAGUGAUCCUGCGCCGAAGAUUUCCGGGGCUAAAACUUACUACCGAAGCUACGGCAUCAGUAAUGAUGGGUAGGGGAGCUUCCCAUACGGGUUGAAGCAUGACCGUAAGGACAUGUGGACAGUAUGGGAGUGAGAAUGUUGGCAUGAGUAGCGAGAUGUGGGUGAGAAUCCCACAGGCCGUAAACCCAAGGUUUCCAGGGGAAGGUUCGUCCGCCCUGGGUUAGUCGGGACCUAAGCUGAGGCCGAAAGGCGUAGGUGAUGGACAACAGGUUGAUAUUCCUGUACUACCGAUAACCGUUUGAGAGAAGGGAUGACACAGUAGGAUAAGCUAAGCACACUGUUGGUUAUGUGUGCCCAAGCAUUGAGGCAGUCAAAGCAGGCAAAUCCGCUUUGAUAAUGCUGGGAUGUGAUGGGGAGCGAAAUUUAGUAGCGAAGUAGCUGAUUUCACACUGUCAAGAAAAGUCUCUAUCGAGGUUAAAGGUACCCGUACCGCAAACCGACACAGGUGGGUGAGGAGAGUAUCCUAAGGCCAGCGAGAGAACUGUUGUUAAGGAACUCGGCAAAAUGACCCCGUAACUUAGGGAUAAGGGGUGCCACCAUCCGGUGGCCGCAGAGAAUAGGCCCAAGCGACUGUUUACCAAAAACAUAGGUUUCUGCUAAGUCGCAAGACGAUGUAUAGGAGCUGACGCCUGCCCGGUGCUGGAAGGUUAAGGGGAUCUGUUAGAGCAAUCGAAGCAGUGAACUUAAGCCCCAGUAAACGGCGGCCGUAACUAUAACGGUCCUAAGGUAGCGAAAUUCCUUGUCGGGUAAGUUCCGACCCGCACGAAAGGCGUAACGAUUUGGGCACUGUCUCAACAACAGACUCGGUGAAAUUGUAAUUCCGGUGAAGAUGCCGGAUACCUGCGACAGGACGGAAAGACCCCAUGGAGCUUUACUGUAGCUUGACAUUGGGUCUUGGUACUACAUGUACAGGAUAGGUGGGAGGCUUUGAAACCAGGACGCCAGUUUUGGCGGAGCCAUCCUUGGGAUACCACCCUUGUAGUACUGGGACUCUAACCAUAGGCCAUGAAUCUGGUCUUGGGACACUGUCAGGUGGGCAGUUUGACUGGGGCGGUCGCCUCCCAAAAGGUAACGGAGGCGCUCAAAGGUUCUCUCAGUACGGUCGGAAAUCGUACGUAGAGUGUAAAGGCAAAAGAGAGCUUGAUUGCAAGACAUACAGGUCGAGCAAGGAUGAAAAUCGGACUUAGUGAUCCGGUGGUUCUGCGUGGAAGGGCCAUCGCUCAACGGAUAAAAGCUACCCUGGGGAUAACAGGCUUAUCUCCCCCAAGAGUCCACAUCGACGGGGAGGUUUGGCACCUCGAUGUCGGCUCAUCACAUCCUGGGGCUGUAGUAGGUCCCAAGGGUUGGGCUGUUCGCCCAUUAAAGUGGUACGCGAGCUGGGUUCAGAACGUCGUGAGACAGUUCGGUCCCUAUCCGUCGCAGGCGUAGGAAAUUUGAGAAGACCUGUCCUUAGUACGAGAGGACCGGGAUGGACGUACCUCUGGUGUACCAGUUGUCCUGCCAAGGGCAUGGCUGGGUAGCUAUGUACGGAAUGGAUAAGCGCUGAAAGCAUCUAAGCGCGAAGCCAACUUCAAGAUAAGAUUUCCCACCGCAAGGGUAAGACCCCAGAAAGACUAUCUGGUUGAUAGGUCGAAGGUGUAAGUGCAGCAAUGUAUUUAGCUUAUCGAUACUAAUAGGUCGAGGACUUGACCAAU
rnacentral:rRNA from 1 species